GUAUAUUCAAUAUCUUGUGAUGUAUAUUCGAAAUCUUGUGAUGUAUAUUCUAUAAUCUUGUGAUGUAUGUUCGAAAUCUUGUGAUGUAUAUUCGAAAUCUUGUGAUGUAUGUUUGAUAAUCUUGUGAUGUAUAUUCGAAAUCUUGUGAUGUAUGUUCGAUAAUCUUGUGAUGUAUAUUCGAAAUCUUGUGAUGUGUGUUCUACAAUUCAGUGAUGCGUGCAAUAAAAUUGCAUGACGCAACAGAAAAGUAAGGACAAUUUUCAUUGGUUAGAAAUAACGAAAGUAGCCGGAGCGGUCGUAAUGCACACAUUGACACAACUUCGCAAGCAUGAAAUUGACGAAUUCAACCUAAAGUCAAAAUUAUAGGAACUUUACGUAGGUCUACAGUUUUAAUUUUGGACUCAUGCACUAGGAAUAUCAUAUCAGCAGAAUUGUGCCACUGAAUCAAAGGGAACUCUUUUUUUUUAGGUACGCAUGAUCGAUGUAACUUCCUCGAUGGUGUGUUGGCUGUUUGCCCAUGUGUAUUUCGGGGUAUAGGAGUAGCCUCCCCUUUUAAAGAUCAAAAAUGGUGAUUUUACAGUGCGGCAUGCAGUCUGGUCUUCAACGAAGAGUUUUGACACCUGUAAUACCCAUAUUUCUACCAUUCACCUCUGUAACCUUUGUUGAGUUCAUCAGACUGUCACUAGGCAACACUAAAGAUUUCCACUUAUUGCUUUUCUGUCCAAGACAGGAAGUUGAGGAACAAAGUUGACAGGACAUCCUGAACUGUCUUCGCUACCAGCUUAUGAGGGAACCAGCUGCAGUGGACAAAGUAUGUUACAUCAUAGGAUAAUAGCAUUGAAUUGGAUUCUUGAACCAGAGCCAUGUGAACCUGGUCCACCUGUACCUCUCAUUGAAGACCUGUUAACAUCACCAGAGUAUGUUCAUUCUGAUACCCCUAUGGUAUGGUUACAGCAUGCAUUAUCCCUGAAUCCAUUAAAAGAGCUGCAUUGGCAAUGAAACAACCCAAUGUGGUCGAUUGUAAGGAAACAUAGCAUAUCAGCUUCCAACUUUGGUGCAGUUCUCAGUUCUAAGCAAAGGCGAUUGACAUUGUCACUGAAGAAACAGCUGAUGUCGGCUUACAAUCUGGAGUCCAUCAAGGCUGUUGCAUGGGGUAUCACUCAUGAAGAUGAUGCUUUGAGAAAGUAUGAAAAGGACUUUGAUGCAGCUGUAGAGCAGUCAGGUAUACAGCACAAAAUAACAUUCAUUCAACCUCUGACAUGUUAACAUUCAAUGUGUCAAAACAAAUAACAGGACUUAUCCUGGUAAAAAAACAGAAAUCAAUUACUGAAGUCUAAUUGUAAAAAAAAAACUAGAAAUAUGUCCAUAGGACAUGAAUGCCCCGCCGAGGAUAUAUUAGUAAAGCAACAUGAAAUUUGUACAUGUAUAAAAUUUGAUCAGUUUGGUUCAGGCAGGGCUUAUAGUUAGUUGGGAAUAAAAAUGUAGGUCCAGCAUCCAAAGCAAGUCUGGUAGUGUCCAUCCCUAGAUGCAUCAUCCAUGCAAGUUUGGUUCAGGUAGGGUUUAUAGUUACUUGGGAAUGAAAAUAUAGGUCAGAUCCAGCAUCCGAAGCAAGUCUGGUAGUGUCCAUCCCUAGCUGCAUCAUCCAUGCAAGUUUGGUUUAGGUAGGGCUUAUAGUUACUUGGGAAUGAAAAUGUGAGUCAGAUCCAGCAUCCGAAGCAAGUCUGGUAGUGUCCAUCCCUAGAUGCAUCAUCCAUGCAAGUUUGGUCUAAGUAGGGCUGAUAGUUCCUUAGGAAUAAAUCUGCUCCAAAAACUUCAACCUGGUCACUCAUCUGGAAAAUGUAGGUCAGAUCCAGCAUCCGAAGCAAGUCUGGUAGUGUCCAUCCUUAGAUGCAUCAUCCAAGCAAGUUUGGUCUAAGUAGGGCUUAUAGUUCCUUAGGAAUAAAUCUGCUCCAAAAACUUCAACCUGGUCACUCAUCUGGAAAAUGUAGGUCAGAUCCAGCAUCCGAAGCAAGUCUGGUAGUGUCCAUCCUUAGAUGCAUCAUCCAAGCAAGUUUGGUCUAAGUAGGGCUUAUAGUUCCUUAAGAAUGGACCUGCUCCAAAAACUUUAAUUUGGUCACUCAUCUGGAAAAUUUAGGUCAGAUCCAGCAUCCGAAGCAAGUCCGAUAGUGUUCAUCUCUAGAUGCAUCAUCUAUGCAAGUUUGUAUCAACAUGUAAAGUUUGAUAACACCAUCUUGAAUGGUAUGUUUAAAACAGAGCUAAACACUAUUUAAGAAAAGUCAGGUCAAGGUCAAA